UACGUAGGUGGCAAGCGUUGUCCGGAAUUACUGGGCGUAAAGCGUGCGCAGGCGGUGAUGUAAGACCGAUGUGAAAUCCCCGGGCUUAACCUGGGAACUGCAUUGGUGACUGCAUUGCUAGAGUAUGGCAGAGGGGGGUGGAAUUCCACGUGUAGCAGUGAAAUGCGUAGAGAUGUGGAGGAACACCGAUGGCGAAGGCAGCCCCCUGGGCCAAUACUGACGCUCAUGCACGAAAGCGUGGGGAGCAAACAGG
rnacentral:rRNA from 1 species